CCUACGGGCGGCAGCAGUGGGGAAUAUUGGGCAAUGGAGGAAACUCUGACCCAGCAACGCCGCGUGAAUGAUGAAGGUCUUCGGAUUGUAAAGUUCUUUUCUAAGGGAAGAAGAAAGUGACGGUACCUUAGGAAUAAGCCUCGGCUAACUACGUGCCAGCAGCCGCGGUAAUACGUAGGAGGCAAGCGUUAUCCGGAAUGACUGGGCGUAAAGGGUGCGUAGGUGGUUCAGCAAGUUAGUAGCGUAAUUCCGGAGCUCAACUUCGGCACUACUACUAAAACUGUUGGACUUGAGUGCAGGAGGGGCAACUGGAAUUCCUAGUGUAGCGGUGGAAUGCGUAGAUAUUAGGAAGAACACCGGUGGCGAAGGCAGCAUACCGGCGCCCAACUGACGCUGAAGCACGAAAGCGUGGGUAUCGAACAGGAUUAGAUACCCUGGUAGUC
rnacentral:rRNA from 1 species